rnacentral:lncRNA from 1 species
AUUGAUUCAUUGGGUUUUAUGUAUAUGUAGUGUCCUUGAUCAUGGAAUCAUUAGAGAAGACUUUUGAUGAUAUAUAUACAAUAUUAUCAUAUUAUAUUACAUCUAUUUAGCACAUGACAUGAGAAACAUUAACCCCAUGUCACUAAUAUAUAAUAUGAAAAAGAAAUUAAGCUAAUGUUAGAACAUAACUUUUUUUUUUAAAUGCAAGAACAGAACUUUAGAUUACAAAGAUUGCAUAUUUUGCUAUGAUGUAUAAGAGUAUGAAUAAUUAAUAUUGAAGAAAUGACUAGUGUCCAGCACCCGGGCUAGGAUUAGAAGAUACAAGAAUUCUUUCAUUGUUGGCAAGAUGAGAAACAAGCUUUCCUCUUCCAUGAAUAUUGAAAUUAUUAAUAACCUUUCCUAAAGUUAGGGUACCCUUUAAAAAGGUCAUCUUUUGUGUCUCCAUUUUGAGAAUCUUUCGGGCAUCUAUAGAUGAAUACAUUACGAAGAAAAGUAGAGUGAUGAGUAAAAUGGAAUUCAAGCGAGCCAUGUGUAUAGUGAACACUAAAAGAAAAGGCAAAGGUAGGUACUAAUGUGUUUGUGUAUUUGCUAUAUGUGUUGAAAAGAAGAGUGGCUUAUGUGCUAUUUAUAGGAUUUGAAGUUUCAUGUUACUUUUCUCAUGUGUUUUUGUUAUUUGUUGAAAAGAAG